GAAAGCGCCUCUUCCCCGUCCCUCUCCUACCUCCGCCAGGCAGGAAGAGAGCUUUCUCCUUAGAGCCGUGACUUAGGGGUGCCCAGCCCCAGGCACCUUGAGCCCCAUCCUCCUGCGAUGCCCCCUCGGAGUGUGGCUCUUCGGGCUCCAUCUUAAUGUGCAGUGACUCCUGAGUGUCCCCUGAAGGUACCGCCUCCCCCAGCUUAGAAGGCAUUUCCUGAUGAGGAUGUCCACGAUCUGGAACCUAGAAAGGACAGCCCCAUCAGCACCCAGAUGAGUGGGAGAGACACCCAGGGCCACAUGGCAGUGCGCUCCGGCAGCGUCGGAAACCAACAUGCAAGACGCAGCUUGAAGGACUGUCCUUGCUGCAUUCAUCCAGCUCACCCCAGCAAGGACGGGCGGCAAGAGGAGGAAUAUUCACCAAGCCGCCUCCACAGUGCCGGUGGGCGUGGUGCCCAAGGGCAGCUACCCCUUCUCAGCUCCAGCCUCACACUGACCUCAGCAGUGUAGACUGCUGUCUAUUAGUGUAUGAAGAAACCAAGUGUAGUGGCUUGAAUAGUGUCCUCUAAGAAUCCGUGUCCUCCCUGGACCUCAGAAUGGGACCUUAUUGGGGAAAAGGGUCUUUAUACAGGAAUAGGAGAGGACACAGAGACACAGAGAAGGAAGCAGAGACUGGAGGGAUGCCCACACCAAGGACACCAGGAGCCCCCAAGGAGUUGGAAGAGGACGGAGUUUCGCUCUUCUUCCCAUGCUGGAGUGCAAUGGCGCAAUCUCAGCUCACCCCAACCUCCGCCUCCUGGGUUCAAGCGAUUCUCCUGCCUCAGCCUCCUGAUUACCUGGGAUUACAGGCAUGUGCCACCACACCUGGCUAAUUUUGUGUUUUUAGUAGAGAUGGGGUUUCUCCAUGUCGGUCAGGCUGGUCUGGAACUCCUGACCUCAGGUGAUCCGCCCACCUCAGCCUCCUAAAAUGCUGGGAUUACAGGCGUGAGCCACCGCGCCCAGCCUAUAAAAUUGAUUCUUUAAAAAAAAUUAGAACAUUUACCGAUGCUGGACCCACCUUCCCCACCUUCAGGGUCCACUUUCUAGGUGGCCACAGUGCCUGCUUGGCCCCUGUAGCAUUUGAGUUUGCAACUCUGCUUUUGGAGUUAAACAUGUUUUAGGAGUCCUGGGAUUCUGAUUGAUGCUAUUGUCAAUUUGAUGAAAGAAAAAUUACUCCUGGGAU
rnacentral:lncRNA from 1 species